GUUAAAACUCAAAUGAAUUGACGGGGGCCCGCACAAGCGGUGGAGCAUGUGGUUUAAUUCGAUGCAACGCGAAGAACCUUACCUGGUCUUGACAUCCACGGAAGUUUUCAGAGAUGAGAAUGUGCCUUCGGGAACCGUGAGACAGGUGCUGCAUGGCUGUCGUCAGCUCGUGUUGUGAAAUGUUGGGUUAAGUCCCGCAACGAGCGCAACCCUUAUCCUUUGUUGCCAGCGGUC
rnacentral:rRNA from 2 species